AAAGAAACUAACAAGGAUUCCCCUAGUAGCGGCGAGCGAAGCGGGAAGAGCUCAAAUUUAUAAUCUGGCACCUUCGGUGUCCGAGUUGUAAUCUCUAGAAAUGUUUUCCGCGUUGGACCGCACACAAGUCUGUUGGAAUACAGCGGCAUAGUGGUGAGACCCCCGUAUAUGGUGCGGACGCCCAGCGCUUUGUGAUACAUUUUCGAAGAGUCGAGUUGUUUGGGAAUGCAGCUCAAAUUGGGUGGUAAAUUCCAUCUAAAGCUAAAUAUUGGCGAGAGACCGAUAGCGAACAAGUACCGUGAGGGAAAGAUGAAAAGCACUUUGGAAAGAGAGUUAACAGUACGUGAAAUUGUUGGAAGGGAAACGCUUGAAGUCAGACUUGCUUGCCGAGCAAUCGGUUUGCAGGCCAGCAUCAGUUUUCCGGGAUGGAUAAUGGUAGAGAGAAGGUAGCAGUUUCGGCUGUGUUAUAGCUCUCUGCUGGAUACAUCUUGGGGGACUGAGGAACGCAGUGUGCCUUUGGCGGGGGUUUCGACCUCUUCACACUUAGGAUGCUGGUGGAAUGGCUUUAAACGACCCGU
rnacentral:rRNA from 1 species